rnacentral:rRNA from 1 species
GAUGAAAGUUGGGGGUGCCCGCAAGGGAAUCAAGGUAGAGGUGCUGCAUGGCUGUCGUCAGCUCGUGUCGUGAGAUGUUCGGUUAAGUCCGGCAACGAGCGCAACCCUUGUUCUUAGUUGCCAUCAGGUCAAGCUGGGCACUCUAGGAAGACUGCCGGCGAUAAGCUGGAGGAAGGUGGGGAUGACGUCAAGUCCUCAUGGCCCUUACGUCCCGGGCUACACACGUGCUACAAUGGCUGGUACAACGGGCAGCAAGACCGCGAGGUGGAGCAAAUCCCUGAAAACCAGUCUCAGUUCAGAUUGCAGUCUGCAACUCGACUGCAUGAAGUCGGAAUCGCUAGUAAUCGCGGAUCAGCACGCCGCGGUGAAUACGUUCCCGGGCCUUGUACACACCGCCCGUCACGCCAUGGGAGUUGGCAGUACCCGAAGUCGGUGUCUGAAUCCGUCAGCUGACGGAUAGGAGCCGCCGAAGGUAAGGCCGAUGACUGGGGCG